UUGUUAUCUGUUUGGACUUUAUGUCCGGGUGUGUAUGCACAGCCCUGUUUGCGUGUGUUUGUGUGUUUUUACAGGAGAUCCCAGAGGAGGCGAGGACUGAGAGAGAAAGAGCCGGUCCCCCAGCACACAGAGCAGUCUGAUCUGCCAGAUUUUGAUCCAAAAACACUGAUGUGUUCCACUAUGGGGUCAUCCGACAUGCAUCCAAUAGGAAGGCCAGAUGCGGCUCAUCUGGACGUAAACAAUGGCAGGAACUGGGAUCGGGGAUCGGCUUUGAAUAACUUCAGAAUCCAUCCAUAGACGGCUGCAUCCAUUCUUCCCUAAACAGGGCGCUGCGGUGAGACGUCCAGGUUCUUCUUCAGGUCAUGCAGGUCGCUUUGGGGUCGUAAACCAUUCACACACAGAGGUUUGAUUGAGGUUGCAUUUAAUUAGUAGCAUGACAGACCUUGCAACAAGUACAUAGAUUUUAAAAAUUGGAUUUCAGCAAAAAAAAAAAAAAAAAAAAAAAAAGAAAGAAAAAAAUCUGAAUUUGCAUCAAGACCUGUUACGUGAAUGUAGCCUUAUAUUUGUACUAAGACUAAAGCAAGCAGUUUGGAUUCAAGUGGUACACUUAAAAAUGUCAUCUCAUCUUUAUCUCACUACUAGGUUCUAAAAUUAAAUUCUCGUAUUAUUGGGAGCUAAUAGUUUGAAGGAAAUAGUUUGUUCUGCUUUUCCAAGAUCUGGUCACAGGAGCCCUCAAGGUCUGGACUUGAGGAGCCCUGGUGUCGGGGUCCCCAGGCCAGUAGGGUGAUCCUGGAUCCAUUGAGGAUGGAAACCUCCACAAGAUAUAAUCUUUGAAAAAGUGACACACAUCUUGACAACACACUCAGUUGCUCAAUGCUAAUGAUGUUAUCUUCUGGUUCACUAGAUAUUCUCCUCUCUCAACAACCAUACACUGAGUCUCUGUCCAUGGGAACAGGGACAGGGACAUUCAGAUGAAACCCUUUCAUAUUUCUCUCCACAUGAAUUUUUGCAUCUGUGACCACAGUGACUGCAGUCCUUCUGAUCAACUGAUGGUCAUUAGCUUUAGAGGUCUCAGAAACCAACCAAAAUCUGAACCUUGAAGGUUUUUUUCUUAAGCUUCAUGGCUUCCAUCACCCCUGAUGUCCACUAAUAGGGACUCCUGGAGGCCACAUCUUUAAUGGAAGCACUGAUUUUGGAUUGUUUGGCAGCAACUUUACCCAACAAAAGUAUUCUAGAAACUUAAAGGUAUGAUCAGGUUCCUUUGCCAGUUAUACCAAGUUCAGUCUGACCACUUAUUUGUUCUGUUCUAUGUACCUCAAUAGCUUCAUUAAUUUUGACACCUCUGGCCUUCCCUAACCUGAGGGUUCCAGACAGGUCUGAUGACCUCACACCAAAAAUGCUUUAAAAAAUUUAACCUGAAUAAAGACAUGCACAUUUAAAAUCCAUCACUAAAAGAAUUAUGAACAAUAUAAUGACAUGACAAUCCCUGACACAUGUCAGACAUUGACAGGGAGCAGGCUUUCUUUAAACAGCACUAUUUUGUGCUGUACCAAGAUUAAAAUGGUACAUUUUCUCUAGCUACCUUCUGGCAAUGAGGAUCGGAACCCACAGUGGAAGAGAAAAAGUAGAGAGAGGAAAGAUGAAAAAUGAGAGUGAAGUAACUGUUGUAACAAAUGAGCAUAAAAAAAUAUGCAGACAAUAUGCAUAAAAAUAGUAGUUAUAAGCAAAGCAAAGCUAUAAAUAUGUACUUUUACAUGAAAUAUGAGCAUCUCUUUUGCUCUUUUCUGUGGAAUGGAUUUAAUGUUAUUGCUAAUCAGAUGUUCUUUCUACCUAAAUUAAAUACACACUAAAGAAAAAAAAAAUACUUAUUUUUCUAUGAUCUUCCACUGGCAGGGUAUAGAAGAGGUUGUGAGACUAAAUAAUUCAUACCGAUGCCAAGCAUUCACAUACAGUGCAUAUUCAAAAAUAGUUGUUUUGACUGUAUUACACUUGUGCUAAAAGCCAAGUCAGGUUCCUACUCCUCACCACCUUGUAGCUGACAACAAAAUCUGUCUGGGACAUCCAAGAAAAACAAUCAAAAGCCUGACAGACACUCAUAACACUAUUCAAGUCUGAGUGUUAAAAGUGUUGGACAAAGACUCUGCCAAGAUAAAACUAGAGGGAGGCCAGGAGAGAGGGGUUGUGCUACAAUACACAGCUUUUCAAAAUAUUUGGGCUCCUUGAACUUUUUAAAAUUUUGUUUCAUUUUUUUUUCUUUUUUUACAACAUGUGAUAGACCAACUCACAGAGGUGCAGAUUUAUGAAGUGGAAAGAAAAUGAGACAAAAAGAAAAAACUUAUGAUUAGGGCCAUUGUAGAUACAAAAAAUUGGGAAGAGAUUUCUGCCCCCAAAAAAACUCAGAAAUUUUCUAGGAAAAAAACUAACUGUUUUGCCCCGCUGCAGAAACUAGAGAAAUUCAGAAUUUUUUAAAAAGAAAAUCUUAGAAAUUCUCUUGAAAAUACAAAAUUUCAGAGUUUGAGAAUUUGAAAAUUAGAUCUAAAACCAGAAAUUUUGAUUAAUCUCAGAAAUUGUCUUGUUUCAAGGUUUGAAAAUGUUCAGCUUCCUUUUUUUAUCUAUGUCAUAAAAACUAUAAGUGAAGAAGAAGAUCAUGUAAGUUAUGUUUAUGAGUUCACAAGUUUAUACAAGAAGUGCUUGCAUGUGACUAAAGGAGGGAUUGACACUCAAGAGAGACAUUUGGUCAAAAAUGUUACGGUCCCACAAAGAACCAAAGAUCAUUACAUUUGUCCCACUUAUUUUAAGAAAGCUCCUGUUAAUGCAGCAGCCGUCUUUCAAAAAUUCUCAUUGAGACAAAUAAUCUCAAUCGAAGAUUUUAACCAAUAGAAAUUUUAUUUCUGCUCUGUUGACCAUUAAUAAAUUGUAAAAGGUAUUUAUUUUUUAAGUUGUCUCAAUAGCAAAAAAAGCUUAAAGAUUUAUGAACUCCUUUUACAUCCCAUCACAGUUAUAAGCAACACCUUGUUACUACACCUGUUUAUUCACGGUUGAAAAACCAUGACAUUCUAGCACAAAAACAUUUUGAAAAAAGUUUUUCUGAAAUUGCAGUGCUUCCAUUAUGGCAAAUUAUUUUUCAGAAUUUCAAUUGGCACAAUUUAAUGGUUAAUUGAAAUGCAGAUACAGUCAUCAGCAGUGCUCUUUUUCUGCCUUCUCAGUUUUCUUUCUGUUGUGUCCAGCCUAAACCUUUUAGCACACGUAAAAGUGAUUUGGCUUGUUGUGUCGGAAUCAUAUCAAAGGCUUUUGCCCACGCCGUCCUUUGGCUCUCAGUCAGCGCCGCAGUUUCCUUGAUGUUCUUCUCCGUCAAGUCUUUUCUUCCUCCGCUGCCAGUUUGACUCAUUUAACAUUCCCUGGAGAAGAUGGCACUGAAGGGUGACAGCACCAAAGGUGACAGAACGGAGCUGAGUGUGUGAGGGCGUGUGUGCGUGUGCGUGUGCAGCACGAACAGUGUGAAGCUACUAGAUAGUGGCCACUCGGUCAGUGUUGGGUAUGGUGGCUGCAGAGGAACAGGAGCUGUCUUCGCUGUGACUCGUCUCCUUCCAUUCUUUCAUCUGGAAGUGUCCUUCACCUCAGGGGACAGGUGGGAGGAAGAUGAAAGAGACGGGCUGAAAAGUGGCUGAGGGAAGGGUGUCUGGUUGGGUCGGGGGGCUUUAGAGAGUGAGGGAAGUGAACUAACAGGACUCCAAAAAAAUAAAAAAGUGCUCAGACAGUUGGACGGUUGGAUAUGACUGCAGUAUGCUCUAAAUUCAUGUUAUGUUGAACUGUUCCAAAAGAAAAUAAAAUGGAUCAAAUGUUCUUAUGACAACCUUUCCUACAUUCUCCUCACAUUACACACAGGAGUUAGGAAGAAGAAUCACUCCCUCCUGGCAACAGUUCUCGAUUGUGAUUCUUUUGAUUAACUGUCUACAGACCUGGCUGCUUUUACUGUUUUUAUAUGCUUAGUGAAAUAAUGUUUGCUCAUGACAAGCUGAACUUUUGUUUAACAAGAAUAAUCCCUGUACCCCCCCACCCCCAUAAAGACCCUUCAUAGAGACUGUUUCAUUGGAUUCUUCAUGCCCACUGCUAUACAGUCCCCAGGUCAUCUCAUCUCAUAUAUCUCCCGGAGUAUUUACAACACUUUCUGCAUCACGCUCUCUGUUCCUGCCUAGGUGGCUAUUUUCCACCAGAUGAGCAAUCUUUAUAGACGUGCAGCCGCCAUAACAGGCCCGAUUUUCAGUGCUAGCAUGUGCGGCGUAAGUCUCUGGAAAUUGUCACGUUUCCUGUCCAGCAAAUCAUCCCUAACAUAUGAUGUUCGGGGGUGCAGCUUUUAUUCCGUUUGAAUGGGUGACUACGAGGAGCCAGUGGAAUGUUGGAUUCAUCAUGCCAACAUGAAGUAAAUGUAUUUGCACUGCUUGCUUGUGUGCUUUAAUCUGACUGAUCAAAACGAAAUGCAGUCAUCUGGAGCUUUGGCUGAUUGCAGCAAGAUAAGCUUAUAGCUGUAACCUGAGAAUAGACUGACCCCCACUAGGGAAUUGGGGAUUGUCUGUA